GGGGGGGGGGGGGGGGGGGGGGGGGGGGGGGGGGGGGGGGGGGGGGGGGGGGGGGGGGGGGGGUGCGGUGAGAGCCGGCGGGGACGGGGGCAGGGACGGGGACAGGGACAGGGACAGGGGACAGCGCUGGGGACAGGGACAGGGGACAGGGGACAGGGGACAGCGCUGGGGACAUUGGAGACAAGGACAUGGGGACAGGGGACAAGGGACAGCGCUGGGGACAGGGACAUGGGGACAGGGACAUGGGGACAGGGACAGGGACAUUCGGGACACACGGGAAGAUCGGAAGAGCGGGGGGGGGGGGGGGGGGGGGGGGGGGGGGGGGGGGGGGGGGGGGGGGGGGGGGGGGGGGGGGGGGGGGGGGGGGGGGGGGGGGGGGGGGGGGGGGGGGGGGGGGGGGGGGGGGGGGGGGGGGGGGGGGGGGGGGGGGGGGGGGGGGGGGGGGGGGGGGGGGGGGGGGGGGGAGGGACAGGGACAGGGACAGGGACAGGGGACAGGGACAGGGACAGGGGACAGCACUGGGGACAGGGACGGGGGACAGGGGACAGGGGACAGGGGACAGUGCUGGGGACAUUGGAGACAAGGACAUGGGGACAGGGGACAAGGGACAGCGCUGGGGACAGGGACAUGGGGACAGGGACAUGGGGACAGGGACAGGGACAUUCGGGACACACGGGACAUUAGGGACACUGGGAACAUUGUUGGGGACAGCACUGGGGACAGGGGACACAGGGGACAUGGCUACAUCUCUGGGGACAUGGGGACAUCACUGGGGACAUCACCGGGGAUACUGGGGACACACGGUACCUUGGGGACAGCUUGGGGACACGGUGGGGACCUUGGGGACAAUGGGAAGAUUGGGGACACACAGGAGACAUUGAGGAGGUUGGGGACAAUAGGGACAUCACUGGGGACACUGGGGACACUGGGGCUGGGGGGAGGCGGGGGAGGUGUCCCCAGGGCGUGUCCCCAUGUCCCGUGUCCCUGUCCCCAGCCUGGCCUGCUGCUGCCACUCCUUCCACUACGUCAAGCGGCUGCUGGAGACGCUCUUCGUGCACCGCUUCUCGCACGGCACCAUGCCCCUGCGCAACAUCUUCAAGAACUGCACCUACUACUGGGGCUUUGCUGCGUGGAUGGCGUAUUACAUCAACCACCCGCUGUACACCCCGCCAGGUGAGUGCCGGUGUCACCUGUGUGUCACCUGUGUCACCUCUGUGUCACCUGUGUGUCACCUGUGUGUCACCUGUGUGUCACCUGUGUCACCUCUGUGUCACCUGUGUGUCACCUGUGUGUCACCUGUGUGUCACCUGUGUCACCUCUGUGUCACCUGUGUGUCACCUGUGUGUCACCUGUGUGUCACCUGUGUCACCUCUGUGUCACCUGUGUGUCACCUGUGUGUCACCUGUGUGUCACCUGUGUCACCUCUGUGUCACCUGUGUGUCACCUGUGUGUCACCUGUGUGUCACCUGUGUCACCUCUGUGUCACCUGUGUGUCACCUGUGUGUCACCUGUGUGUCACCUGUGUCACCUCUGUGUCACCUGUGUGUCACCUGUGUGUCACCUGUGUGUCACCUGUGUCACCUCUGUGUCACCUGUGUGUGACCUGUGUCACCUGUGUGUCACCUGUGUGUUAUCUGUGUGUCACCUGUGUGUCACCUGUGUCACCUCUGUGUCACCUAGGGGGGGGGGGGGGGGGGGGGGGGGGGGGGGGGGGGGGGGGGGGGGGGGGGGGGG
rnacentral:lncRNA from 12 species